UACGUAGGGGGCAAGCGUUGUCCGGAUUUAUUGGGCGUAAAGAGCGUGUAGGCGGUUAGGUAGGUCCGUUGUGAAAACUCGAGGCUCAACCUCGAGACGCCGGUGGAAACCAUCAGGCUAGAGUCCGGAAGAGGAGAGUGGAAUUCCUGGUGUAGCGGUGAAAUGCGCAGAUAUCAGGAAGAACACCCGUGGCUAAGGCGGCUCUCUAGUACGGUACUGACGCUGAGACGCGAAAGCGUGGGGAGCGAACAGG
rnacentral:rRNA from 1 species